rnacentral:rRNA from 1 species
UACGUAGGGUGCAAGCGUUAAUCGGAAUUACUGGGCGUAAAGCGUGCGCAGGCGGUUAUGUAAGACAGAUGUGAAAUGCCCGGGCUUAACCUGGGAACUGCAUUUGUGACUGCAUGGCUAGAGUUUGGCAGAGGGGGGUAGAAUUCCACGUGUAGCAGUGAAAUGCGUAGAUAUGUGGAGGAACACCGAUGGCGAAGGCGGCAUCCUGGACCAAUUCUGACGCUGAGGAGCGAAAGCCAGGGGAGCAAACGGG